GGGGAUAUAGCUCAGUGGUAGAGCACUUGCCUAGCAUGUAUGAGGCUCUGGGUUUGCUUCUCAGCACCA
rnacentral:tRNA from 1 species